rnacentral:rRNA from 1 species
UACGGGGGGAGCAAGCGUUGUUCGGAUUUACUGGGCGUAAAGGGCGCGUAGGCGGUCAGCACAAGUCAGUUGUGAAAUCUCCGGGCUUAACUCGGAAAGGUCAACUGAUACUGUGCGACUAGAGUGCAGAAGGGGCAACUGGAAUUCUCGGUGUAGCGGUGAAAUGCGUAGAUAUCGAGAGGAACACCUGCGGCGAAGGCGGGUUGCUGGGCUGGCACUGACGCUGAUGCGCGAAAGUCAGGGGAGCGAACGGG